UACGUAGGGGGCUAGCGUUGUCCGGAUUUAUUGGGCGUAAAGAGCGCGCAGGCGGCUUGGUAAGUCGGAUGUGAAAUCCCGAGGCUCAACCUCGGGUCUGCAUCCGAUACUGCCCGGCUAGAGGUAGGUAGGGGAGAUCGGAAUUCCUGGUGUGAGCGGUGAAAUGCGCAGAUAUCAGGAGGAACACCGGUGGCGAAGGCGGAUCUCUGGGCCUUACCUGACGCUCAGGCGCGAGAGCUAGGGGAGCGAACUGG
rnacentral:rRNA from 1 species